rnacentral:rRNA from 1 species
GAUGAACGCUGGCGGCGUGCCUAAUACAUGCAAGUCGAGCGAACAGACGAGGAGCUUGCUCCUCUGACGUUAGCGGCGGACGGGUGAGUAACACGUGGAUAACCUACCUAUAAGACUGGGAUAACUUCGGGAAACCGGAGCUAAUACCGGAUAAUAUAUUGAACCGCAUGGUUCAAUAGUGAAAGACGGUUUUGCUGUCACUUAUAGAUGGAUCCGCGCCGCAUUAGCUAGUUGGUAAGGUAACGGCUUACCAAGGCAACGAUGCGUAGCCGACCUGAGAGGGUGAUCGGCCACACUGGAGCUGAGACACGGUCCAGACUCCUACGGGAGGCAGCAGUAGGGAAUCUUCCGCAAUGGGCGAAAGCCUGACGGAGCAACGCCGCGUGAGUGAUGAAGGUCUUCGGAUCGUAAAACUCUGUUAUUAGGGAAGAACAGAUGUGUAAGUAACUAUGCACGUCUUGACGGUACCUAAUCAGAAAGCCACGGCUAACUACGUG